CUUAAAUCCAGCUGUACAGGCCAGGUACUUAGCAUUUGUACCUCAACGCAAUAGGUACACCAGUAGUCAAGGCCUGCGACUGGAGUUGCAUGGAUGUGAGGCACAACAACCAAUCCCCGUCAGAAGCACCCCUGUCUCCCAGGACAUACAGGGAAGCAAUGAGUGGUUACCCAGCCAGAGUCCAUAUGUCAUCAACACUCUCAUCAGGAUUCGUCCAGGAGCAUUCGUCAAAAUACAGCACGGAGUCAAGGUUAUAUUCAAUUCUUAAGACGCAGGAUUCACCGUUCUUGGUAAGGAU